rnacentral:rRNA from 1 species
AAUGGCGUCAGGAUGAACGGCUAGCGACAGGCCUAACACAUGCAAGUCAGGGGCGAGCACAAGGAGCAAUCUGAGGUGGCGACCGGCGCACGGGUGAGUAACACGUAUGCAACCUGCCUGUAAGCGGGGAAUAACCCGUUGAAAGACGGACUAAUACCGCAUAAUACUAAAUUACUGCAUGGUAAUUUAUUUAAACAUUUAUGGCUUACAGAUGGGCAUGCGCAUGAUUAGCUAGUUGGAGAGGUAACGGCUCCCCAAGGCAACGAUCAUUAGGGGUUCUGAGAGGAAGGUCCCCCACACUGGUACUGAGACACGGACCAGACUCCUACGGGAGGCAGCAGUGAGGAAUAUUGGUCAAUGGACGAGAGUCUGAACCAGCCAAGUCGCGUGCAGGAAGAAAAUGUCCUAUGGAUUGUAAACUGCUUUUGCAGGGGAAUAAAGUGCAUCACGUGUGAUGUUUUGUAUGUACUCUGCGAAUAAGGAUCGGCUAACUCCGUGCCAGCCGCCGC